rnacentral:rRNA from 1 species
UGACCUGAACUCAGACGUAACU